rnacentral:rRNA from 1 species
UGUGGCUUCCUUUGGGACCCAAAGGCUCCAGAUCCCAUCUGAUAUUGGAAAGCCAAGCAGGGCAGCUCUGGGAAGUACUUGGAUGGGAGAUCUCCAGUGAAUACCAGCUGCUGUAU